rnacentral:pre_miRNA from 1 species
UUACGGUGGAGUUACAAAAGCGGUUUUGAUCUAGUAAGAAGCGGAUUUGGGGUUGCAGAGGGUGGAGAAAUCCAAAGGGAUCGCAUUGAUCCUUUUCAGUGCAAGCGGUUUUCCAAGGAUCAUGCGGUCUCUUAGGAUGUCUCCAUCUUAAUGCAAUAAAAUUGAGCUCCUCUUGUGAAAAGACAUUGAAGGUGGUUUCAGGUGA